rnacentral:rRNA from 1 species
CGAUUUUGCCUCUCAGUGUUCGACUAAGCCAUGCAAGUCAAAUGUUCUUCGUGAACAUGGCGAACUGCUCAGUAACACGUGGAUAACCUGCCCUUAGGACCGGCAUAACCCUGGGAAACUGGGGAUAAUUCCGGAUAACUCAUGAAUGCUGGAAUGCUUUGUGGGUAAAAUGGUUUCGACCGCCCAAGGAUGGAUCUGCGGCCUAUCAGGUAGUAGUGGGUGUAGUGUACCUACUAGCCGACGACGGGUACGGGUUGUGAGAGCAAGAGCCCGGAGAUGGAUUCUGAGACAUGAAUCCAGGCCCUACGGGGCGCAGCAGGCGCGAAAACUUUACAAUGCGGGAAACCGCGAUAAGGGGACACUGAGUGCCAGCAUCUUAUGUUGGCUGUCCGCAUGUUUAAAAAGCAUGUGUUAGCAAGGGCUGGGCAAGACCGGUGCCAGCCGCCGCGGUAACACCGGCAGCCCGAGUGGUGAUCACUAUUAUUGGGUCUAAAGGGUCCGUAGCCGGUUUGAUCAGUCUUUUGGGAAAUCUGACAGCUUAACUGUUAGGCUUCCAAAGGGUACUGUCAGACUUGGGACCGGGAGAGGUAAGAGGUACUACAGGGGUAGGAGUGAAAUCUUGUAAUCCCUGUGAGACCACCAGUGGCGAAGGCGUCUUACCAGAACGGGUCCGACGGUGAGGGACGAAAGCUGGGGGCACGAACCGGAUUAGAAUACCCGGGUAUU